UCUCAGUGAUGCAUUUCCAAUAGAUCCUUCUGACCCUCCAGUGGACUCAACGCAGGGGUGAAGAGGACAGUGACUGAGAGA
ensembl:snoRNA SNORD62 Small nucleolar RNA SNORD62